UCAACAUUCAAAGACAGCAGAGCUUCUUAUAUGGAAGAAAGAGUUCUUUUAGUUAUCAAGGAACUUGGCUUAUAUCAAAUUUCAACAAACACAAGGCCCCGAACGAGCCGAAUCCUUCAAAUUAGAAAAUGCAAAUACUCAUGAUCAAUUUGUUACGCGAUGGCUCCAAGAGGGGCCUCAAAAUCGUCAUGUAGGGGUAACCCAUGUGGGAAGCUGUAAGGUAGGGCUUGACUAUCUUGAUGAAGAAUGAGCAAGACAUUUAUGCAAGACAGUGAAAAGAUUAGAUAUUCCAGGAAGAUAUCAAGAAC
rnacentral:sRNA from 1 species